UAUUAAUGCUCUUUAUUGAGCUAAAAGUUCAAGUCUAAAAGAGUUAAAAAAAACCUUGAGCAAGGAUUUGAAAUUUUUUAGUAAAACAAAAUUCUCAAUUAGUCAGAAGUCUAAAAGCUGCUUUCGGUAGUGGCGAAUUCUGGCGAAGUUUAAGGCACCAUUUUGCUUCCCUGAGAAAGGUUAGUCUUCGAUUCUUCUUUCUUGUCUUGUCGUGUUGUUAUAGUUAUAGCAGUAGUAAUUUUGAUUAUUGCAUUGUAUGUUUAGAAUUAUUGUUGUAGAGGCUAUGAAGGCUAUAGGUUUUUAUUAUGAUGAAAAAUAUCGUUGUGCUAUCUCUCCGCCAAAUUUCAUCUUUUUUCUCUUGUGGAUGUAUGUUAGCUCUUAGUCCUUCCUCAAUAUAAGUGAAAGUGAUAGUUGUAGAAAGUGUUUGAAAGUCAUAAGUCUUCUUUGUUCAGCUCUUGGACUUAAUAUCUUGUUGGUUAGAUCAUUGUUUUGCCUCAUGAUUCUUGUUUUGGUUCUGAAGAUUCACUAUUUAUCUUAAUCUGUGAUUUCCUUUAGUGCCUCUUUUUGUGAUUUUCUAUUGAGGUUCAACGAUUCCUACUAAAUCCCUAACUUAUUUAUACGUGUUCUGCGUAUCUUUUUUAUUCACUCUUUGACAUAAGUGUUUCUGUUGGGCCUUUCUCAUUUUUUGUUCUAGCUUAAGGGUGUGGCUUGUACUACUUCUAUCUACUAUUUUUUAAGAAAAAAGCUUAAUCCGUCUUGUCCAGCUUAACUUCCUACUUGUUUUAGCUUGAAUACUAAUUCUUCAUCUUGGAAACUUUGAUUUUGAUACCUGUGUUCUAUUUUAAAUUCGUGUCUGUUAGGGGUUCUUGUUUGAGGCCUUUGGGAAAAUGUAUUGGCUUGUUGAAGAAUAUUAGGUAUUUAAGUAUCUCUGUUGAAGUAGAAUAUCCUAAUUUUUGUUGUCAUUACGCUAUGUGUAAUUUGUGCUUAAGCUAAGGAUUCCCAAGAAUCUUUCUUGCUCGAUAACAUCAAGAAGAGAGGGGUGAAGUUAUAUUUUUCUUACUCCUAAAAACAAAGUUAGGAGACGGAAUACAUCAUCACAACUGUUUGCUUCUAUCCUCAAGUGCCCACUAUCAGGGAUUUUUUUAUUUUUAAUAUUUGAAAAUAUUUAAUUGUUUUCCCUAGUCUAAUAACUAUAUAUUUUGUGGUCGGGUGCGACAGAUAUGUUAUAAUUGGUCCAGCUGUUGUUUUGUUUAGCUGAAAAGCUCAAAGUUGAAAGGAGAAGUUGUCUUUUUGAAAUGGCUAGUUUUAUAUCUCUUUCUCUGAUUCAUGAGUGGAGUAUUGAACAACUUACUUGCUCUCAGUGUGUACUAUUACUUCUCUUCUAUUAGGUAUAUGCUCUAUUCUAGUUUCAUUGCUUUCAUCAAGUGCUCGUCUCUCAUGUAUUCUUAGAGUUAUUUAUUUUAAAUCAAGCAUGUUACUAGUAUCGAUUAGGCAAAUUGCAAUGUAGACCUCUGUCUUCAUUUUAUGAAUUAAGUGGUUUAGUUAAAUGGGCCUGUUAUCCCCCCAAAUCUUAUAUGAUACUCAUUUAUUCCAGAUUGUUUUAUCUGUUGAAUCCAAGUGUUUUUUGCUUUGUUAGCAAAAAUUAUACGUUUUCAUUUAACAGGUCAGGUCAUAAGUUACCUCUUACUUUCCUUCUUUUCAUUUUUCAUUUUCUAUGAAAGCAUUGGUUGUAUUGUUCUUAUUUUUGUUCAUUUCUUUGCUAUGACUUAGUCUGGAACUAUCUUUUUGAAAUUUGUCUUGAAACAGUAAAGUUUAUAGUUUCCUACAAAGACUGUUUUAAUCGUGAAAUUUUAACGAGUUUAUGAGGUGCUUUCAUGCAAUUUUGGUAUUAAACAUUGUAUUUCAAGUCAAGUACGAACAUAAACGCCUAAUUUCCUAUAAAGGUCGAAUUGAUUCACAAUUUUUUUUGAUGGCUUGAAUGAUGAAUUGUUUAGUUGACUUCCAUGUCUACUUUUAUCUCUCAUUCCUUUCCCAUAUUUCUUCUUUUCAAGUUUUCUGAAAAUGCCUUGUUAAGAUAUGAAUACUCCGAGUUAGUAUUGCGGAUUAGUAAGAAGAUCAAAUCUUGUUUUGAUUACUUGAAAUAUGAAAGCCAAUCCCAUGUGUAGUGUGAAUAUGUUCAAGAUUAUAUAUAGUUUGAAUCAGUUGUGUUUUGUAUUUAUUUUUCGAAUUAACUACUCUCAUUUCGAAUAAAAUUCUAAUCCUCCUCUUUUCUUUGGCGUGAAAAAUCUGUUUGGGGUUCGAGUGGACUUUCCUUUUCUUUGCAUUCAUAAUAGGCAAAUGGGGCCAUCUCUUCGAGUCAACUUCAAGCUAAGUCCAAAAGUUUGUCCUAUGGAGUACCGUAAUAAGGAUAUAGAAGAAGAUAAUGGGUCCAAGCCCAUUGACAUAGCUGCUAGGAUUUGGAGACUUGAAAAGUCUCAUUCUUCAUUAUUUUAUUUAUUUAGUAUUGCUUUACUUGUCUUUAUUCAUUUAGUUACUUAUUUAUUCAUUCAUUCAGGGCCUCAAAGCUAAAGUGGUAAAUUAAUACAGAGAAAGCAGAUUUUGGGCCAAAGGGGUCCGAAAAGAUAGUUUAGGACAGGUUAUAGGCCAAAAGCCUAAUAUUUAAAUUAGGACAGGUGAAAAUGAGCUAAAAGCCCAAAUGAAUAGUUAAGGACAGAGGUAUUUGGGCCAAAAGCCCAAUUAUAUUAGUACAGGAUUGAUGGAUUUUGGCUUACAAGCCUGACUUAUAAUUCUUCCCGUUCCCCUUUAUGUGUUAUUUGAUAUUAGUUUUCUUAGAACUAGUUAAAUUCCCCAUUAAGUCGUCCAAAAUUAAUUUUGCACAAAUUUUUCUCUUAAUCAAUUUUUUUAUAAAAUAAUACCUAUUUAAAUUUAGACAAAGAUGUUGUUUUCAAAUAGUCCGGAUAACCGCAAGUUAAUAGAUACUCUUGGUUCCUUAACCACCUUCCAAGAGUAUUAAUAGGAACCACUUACUCGGAAUUUCAAACUUAAAUAAUUUUUUUCUACUUUGAAUCAUUUAAGUAAUUUCCAAAGGUUUUUUCUUAAUGUUUCUAAAUAAAUUAAGUGGAGACUCUAUUCUUGAGUUUAAAAACUUUUUGAAAGCAAAAAACUCAAAAGUUAUUUCUCCGCAAAACAAAAAUAGCGUCUCUGUUGGGGAGAUUAAGUAGGUUCUAACCAAAUAUUUGAAUUGGCUUCGUUGACUAACUAUUGCAAUUUUUAAACUGCUUAUGCACUUAUAUUUUUAAUUUCUACGAAAUUAAGCUAUUAUAUUUCAUGGCAUAGUUUCCACUCGAAAUAUAUAAAUUGUUUGGGGUUUCGUUGAUGUUCAGGGCCCUAUUGUUCAAUUCUAAAGUAAGUGUUGGGAAUACGACGGUUUAUUAGCAUGUUAGGCGUCUGAUGGCUAUUCAUAUUUCCAAACCCAAGUCGUCCUCCAGGGACCCUGGUCCAAAUCCACUCUAGACACCCAGGAUAGAGCGAAACCAAAGCCACUAGAACUUGAAUCUAAACACGAAGAAGUAAAGAUAGAAGCAUAGGAUAACCAAGAUAGGAAGACAGACACAAAAUUGAUAAUGCAAGGGGAAUCGAAGGUUAUUUCAAACCCUAAAACCUCCCUUAAUGGAUUACCAAUUACCACCUAACUCUUACGUCACCGCAAAGGGGAUUAGAUCUUCCUUACAACCAACGUUUCUAGUCAAGGCUCAAUAUUGACUUUUCCAAGUACUCAUCACUCCCAAUGGACUUUCCAUGAAUACAUCAUGAUAAAUAGUCAACAAAAACUAAAGAAGAAAGACCUAAAUCUAUCUAUUUAUAGUCAAAUAAAAGGCCUAAAAGUCACCCAUUAGCAAAAACAAAAAAUAACCUCAAGGGUGAUUUUCAAUUGAUGACUUCAUCACUAGUCGCCACUGUAGUCGUCAACCAAGUGAUAAGUCAUUGCUUUAGUCAUAACCCUUAACAUAAUGUCAUCUUCAGUGACAAUUCAUCACCUAAGUUAUCAGAAAGGUGAUAAGUCAUCACUUAAGUCAUCUGCCUUAAUAGAAUGUAAUUUUCAGCUUGAUAACUCGUCAGUGAAGUCGUCAACAACGUGAUAACUUAUCAACCAAGCUGUCACUUCUAGGAAGAAUGUUAGUUUUUUUAUCUUUUUAUCCCAAUAAAUUAACCAUACAUGAGAUUGUUGGUUUAGGAGCUCAAAGAAGGUCCUCCAAGUGUAUUCUUGAAUUGUUUGGUUUAUCAUGACUCGGACCUCUUUGUGUUGUCCUCGAAUGAUGUGUUCAAAAAUGUUCGUGGCCAUUUGGCUUGCAUCAUCCUCCCCUUCUUGAAAAGGAUUUGACCUUGAAUCUAUUCCUUGAAAAAUCAAAGGAAGGACAAACAAACACAAAAUCAUCAUGGAAUGAGGGUUAUGGUUAGCACACAAAUCACAUCAUCAUGCCAAGGUUGAACAUAUUUAAUAUAUAUCCAAGUAUCCUUCAUGUUAAACAUUAGAAGCUCGUUGAAAAAUACACAAAGAAGUUGAUUAUGAACAUCAUCAAGAUAUAAGGAAACAAUAAAGGUCUUAAUGACAUCAAUUAUUCCAAAAGGUAGAACUACGUAUACCUUAUGAGCCAUAGGACACAAUUGCUUCAUUAUUUCUUCAACAGACCACACCAAGGGUGGUGCCUCAAUGGCUUCUAAAGUUCACAAGAUCCAUAUAGUAUUGUGACACAAACAAGUGGACAAACCAACAAUUUUCCUACCUCGACAUAAAAAAUCCAAGACUAGCAUGGAUGUCGUCAUAUGGAAAAAAGUAGUAUAGAAAAGAAUCAAGUGUAAAGGCAUCAUCCAAGGUGCUUGUAAUACCCAAAAAUCCAAAUCAAUAUUAAAAACAUUCUUCAAGAUCAUGGAAAAUAAAUUAUAGUGAUUUGGUAGUUUUAUUAGUGAGUUUGAUGUAUAUUAAGGCCUCAAAUAACUCCUAGUUAUUAAAUAAAUCAAAAUAUCUCUUACUGAUUGAGUUCUUGAGAAGGAUGUCGCCAUAGUGAACUUCAAAUGAGAAUAUGUUUUGUUUUACUAAAAAAAUUUUAUGACAUAGCCCACCAACGGUUAGAUAAUUGAAUUAUCUUUUCAACGAUAGCAAUUUUUUCUUAAUCUGAUUUCUGAUUAAAACUUUAUGCUUGUUUUACCAGAGAGCUGUCCUACUGUCGAAGUGCGAUGGCCAGGUUAACGGUCAUCAAGCCAGGCCGUCAACUUCAGGAAGUGAGCUCAUUUUCUACCCAUAAACUGAUUUCUUGAGUGACGGUCAAUCACCAGAGUGACGGUCGGUCACCCAAACCAUCAACCAAGCCCGCUCAAUGAAGGAUUGACAUUUUUAAUGAGGUCUAUGGGUCUUUUUCCACCCUUUUUAACCCCUAAUUCCAUCAACUUAAAAAACAUAACCCCUCACUCAUCCUUAAAAUCAAAAUUAGGGCUUCUUUCAAGAUCAUUCACCAAGAACAAGAUUCAAACCCUUCUUCAAGAAACUAAGAAAUUCAAGUUCUUCAAGUUCAAGAAACAUCAAGAAAACAUCAAGAUUUAUGAUUCCCAAUCCAAGAACGUUCAAGAAAAGUUAAUUCUCUUUCAAGAAUAAUUCUUUAAGGUAUGUUAAAUGUUCAUCCAUGGAUCCUUUUCACCCAUGGAUCCCAAGAACCCAACUUCAAAUUCAAAGUUAUGAUUUUUACAAAUUAUGGGGAUUUUAACCAUGAGUCGCCUUGAAUUUUGAUUCUAUAACAUGUUCCCCAAACAUUAGAAUGGUGUUGUUCACUGAAUUAAACCCUAAUUGGUGAUUUUAGUAGGAAAACCAUGCUAUUACUAUAAGUUUUAAAACUAUUCCCAUACUUAUCUUAAACCAUGAAUUACAAGUGUUUGAUGAAAUGCCCAAAAAAAGGAGUUUUGAAUAAAUGCUUACAUAUCAUGUCCUCAAAGUUUUAGUACAAUCCUUCUAUUAUUAUUAUCGAGUCCUGGGGGUUUAAAUACCCAAAAUUUAGUCGCUUACCUAGUUUUCAAUAUUUAUAGAAUGGUUACAGAAUUUAAAUAGUUAAGCAUAGUCAGCCAAAUAUUUUGGGUCUUUCAGUUGGGAGUAGGAUUUAGCAUCGAGCAAAUGUAGGUAUAACGGCUUCCCCAUCAGUUAGGCAGAGUCAUUAGUAGCAGUCCUUGCAUUCCAGAACUAUGUAGCCGGCGUAGGAUAUGAGGAGUCACCCAUCAAUUUAGGCUUGAUUUUGCCCAGGUGUCACCCAUCAAUUUAUGCUUGACAUCCUAGUUUUUCAGUAGCUUAGUGGAUCCACUCAGCCAUGAGUUAGUACCCGUGGCACGAUAUUGGCACCCUUCCAAUUGGGGUCACAGUUUGGACCCCAAUUUGCUCAUUGGGGCAUGUCGGUUAGAUGAUAGCUCCCAUAGUCUCAGUCCAAUAUUCAGCCCAAUAAUUUAGUUUCAAGUUUGCUUGAACUUAGCAUACAAAUAUAAGUCAUUUGUUUAUCAGUAUUCAGUAUUUUAGUUAACUUAUUAUAUUUAGAACAUGUUUUAUGCUUGGUUAUGCAUUCUCAGUCUUUACCGAUUUUAUGCAUUAUAUUUAGUACUUCAUGAUAUACAUUCAAUCAUCUAUUACUUGUGCACAUAAAACCAUGUAUAUUAGCCUAACCUCAUUUAGCAUACCAGUAUAUUCAAAGUACUGAUCGCAUACUCUUUUCUUAUGCAAUGAUGUUUAAUAUCAUAGGUUUGGAUGCUCAGUUCCCUAAUCGCGCAUAGGCAUACCAAAUUAUCAGCUGUAGUAGUGGUGAGUCCUCAUACUUAGAGGAAAGGGUUUAUUUAUCUUAGUUUACCUUAUCAAUUCAGUAUUUUCUAUUCAGUUGGAGUUAGUUGGGGUUUAUCCCAUCAGCUCCACAGUCAGUCAUUAGAUACUUUUUAGACUAGUAUAAAUAGUUAGCCUUUGGUCGUUAUCAUUAGUCAUUCUAUCAAUGUGGUCAGUAUUAUUUUAUAGACAUUAUCAGAACUAUGUUUUAAAACCUUAUGACCUUUUUUAGUUAAAUUCCAUAUAUGAUCUUUUGAUGUCGGUUAUACUCAGUGCUUAAGGCAGGUACCACUAUCAUAGGUUAGUUUGUGGUCACUUGUCACUAUAGGUACCGUAUGGCAUCCAGGGUGUACUCAUGGGGCUUUACAAACUUGGUAUCAUAGCCUAAGGUUUUAAAGUUUCCUAGGAAGUCUAAAAGCCAUGUUAAGUAGAGUUUUGUGCAUGGGUGUAAAGCCCACCACACUUAUGGACAAGAGGCUACGAGAUAUUUUAAGAAAAGUUUCCCUUCUUUCAGUGUUCAUGUAGUGCAAAAGAGAAUGAUCUUGAUUUAAAAUCACUUUCUAACUCAUCUAUCCUUCUGUGUAUAUAAAAUACCUCCCAGAAAGAACAACAUAAGAAGAAAUAGGAAUGAUCCUACACCUCCACCUAUUUAGGAAGAUCCCCUAAAUGAGCAUGUCUAUCACGCUAAAUUUAGAGUUUCCUUCACUACUUUAUCCUAUUCAGUGUUUAUUAGAACAAUCUACAGGUUGUUGUCCUAGCUAGGCUUUUGACUUAUGCUCAGAAAAGUGAGGAGAGAGCGUAGAAAGAAAGAGAGAAAAAAAUAAGAGGGCCAGAACAAGUAAUUUUAAUCUAAGGUUAGGGGGUAGUAACCGCUCCUAAUUCCAUCAAAAAUUCUCAGCCCUAGCUUUGCCUUUAACUAGUGUUCCAGUGCCUAAGUUUAAGAAUGAUUGUCAAAAUAGAACACUAGGCUCUAAGUCACAAGGUAGUGGAAAAGGUAUUCGUACUAAUUUGGUUUGCGAAGAAUAUCACAGGAAUCAUAAGAGUAUUUGUAGAGCCGGUAGUGAUUUGUGUUUUGGGUGUGGAAAGACAGGCCCCAAAGUUAGAAUUUCCCAACAAGUGGUCAGCAGGGAAAAUCCAAUCGUCCUCCAAUUCCAUUCUAUCACCCGACUCAGCAGGGCACCACUUUUAGUGCCACCAAUGGUUAAUGUCAGAAAAGACUUUAUGAACACCAGUCUCAACAUGAUCAGGAAAUUUCAACUAAUUUGGUUACGAGUAUGUUAUCGGCCUUUCAUAUUGUUAUGUAUGUUUUACUAGAACUAGAGCUUCACUUUCUCUUGUAACCCUCCUAUAUAGCUGUCAACUUUGGUGUCAAACCUGAAACAUUAGCAGAUCCCUUCUCAAUGUCUAUAUCAGUGGGUAAAUCUACCAUUUCCAGGUGAGUAUAUAGAAAUUGGUUGGUUACAGUAUCCUAGAAAAACACUUCAGUUGAUUUCAGAAAUAAAGUCCUUCAAUUUCAGUUUCUCGAUGAACUAGUCAUUUAAUGGGGGGUAAUACCUCAGUCUUAGGGGUCAGAUGUGUUUUUAGAGCCCUUCUCAGAAUCUUAUAAUAGUAGAUGGCCUAGAAUUAGAAGCAUAAACCUAGAAGUUUAGUAACAAUAGAGUGGGGAUAGUAUUAUCUGAAUUUGGUGAAUUACGUAUCCAUAGGUCUAAUUGUAUGAAAAGUAAUCAGUAGGCUUAAAAUAGUGUAUUCAAGAUAUUAAGCUAUGUAUUAUGGUAUGGGUGUGCUUAUUCAGCAUCCUUGAGUGCUAAGUUUGAAUGGGGUUAUUGAUGUAGUAAUUGAUGUUCUUACCAGCUCCAUUAUGGAUUAUAAGAUGUUGAUGUCAGAUGUUCGGGUGCAAAAGUAGUUCUCAUGGUUUAGGGAGAAAUAUAAGUUUAAAGAUAGGAAAAUUGUAGGUUAUGAUAAAAGUAGUAUGGUUAUUAAAUAUUUUGGGAUAUCCAUGUUGUGUUAGAAUCUAAGUUUGAAUCUUUGAAGGUUGAGCUAAUAGAAAGAGGAGUUGAAAAUUCUAAGUUAGUCAAUUUUAAGUUGUUACAUAAUGAUUGUUGGGGCUAUAGAAAGGUAUGAGUUGUAUCUCAGAAGAAAGUACUAGUAGUAAGUCUUACAUUAUUGGGUAUAGUCAUUCAGGUGAGUUUACCAACUAUAUGUAUUAUUACAUCCCAGAUUCUAGAGUACGAUGGUGGCAGUUCAGUUUAGAAAUAUUGAUUAAGUGGUUCCAAGACUUAGAAUUGUGAAUUUAAGAUAAGGGGGAGAUGAUGGAACAAUUAACCAAGUUAGGCUCUCAGAUUCUAGUAGUGAUACUAGAGUGUUGUAGAACAACACUAGGGAAGAAGAUGUCGGACCCAUGCUUAUUUCAGUAUUUGUACUUCAGUUAUCAUAAUAUGUCAGCUCUAUGACCAUAGCUCAUAUUCAUGCACUUUAUAGAAAAUCAUGUACUCUCCUAGUACCUAGUAUGAGGAGUCCUAGUUCACCCAACAGUAUGAAUCAUAUUCCAUGAAUUCAAAAACUCCAAACUCAGGUCAUGCAGUUCAUGACUAGUGUAUUCAUGUUUUAAAGUAUGCUCAGUUUCCAUUACUAAUGCUACACUCUUAAUGACCAGAAAAAUUCAGAUUUGUGUCAUGUAUGUCCUCAGUUUAGACCUCUUUAAGGAAUUCAUUUCAUUUAUACUCUAUUCCUCAGGCCACAGUUAAGUGUCCAAGUUAUGCAUGGUAUUUCUUCCAUACUUCAGGAUCUCAUAUUCUAACUUUUCAGUGACCUUCCUUUAUGAAAUAAUGGUGAUGAUGAGUAAUUUGUUUAGAUAUGAGAAAGUAAAUGUUUCAUGUUAAGGAAAGAUUUUUGCAUGCUUGUUUUACAUGAGGCGGUAGUUAUGAAGAUAGGCUUGAAUGUCAUGUUGGUGUGUAAGUAGAUAAAUGCAUUACGUGUUGGUGAAUGGCUAGUAAAAGUUUGUAUUUCAUUAUUGAAGGAGUAAUCAGAAGUAUUUAGAAGAUGGGAAGUUAUUAAAAUGCAUAGUGUAUUGAAUUCAUGACUCAGACUAAUAUUACAGUGUUAUGUGGACAUUGUAUAGAUUUGAGUAGGCUUGAACAUAGCGGGAGAAUUUAGACCAGCUCAACCCUCAGUAGAUAGAGUUAUCGUGCCCAUGUGAAUAUUUUUAGUAGCCUUAAGUGAAGUACGAUGUUGAAGUACAAAAUAAAGUUGAGGGAGUAGGUGAGAAGUGUGUCUAAGAUUGUAAGUUAGUAGUUGUAGUACAUACAGCUUAGUAACUCUAUCCUAGCUAAUGUUUCGUAGGCCUGUGUUCCAUAUUACAGAAUUUUAGCCAUGUUGUGAUUUCUUAUUGAGAUGUCCUAUUCAGACCAUGUUAAGAUUCUCUGCUCCCUAAUAUCAUUAGAACUUUAUGGAAAGAAUGUCAAAGAAAUACUCUAGUUAAGUAUAAGCUUUUAGUACGAGUUAGUUUGUAUAGCCAGUAAUUUGGUUUAGCAGUUAGGCAGACAAGUUCCUAUGGUUUUCAUCUCUCUUAUUCAAGAGGAAAUUCCUUCACAACCAUGCAAGUCGUAACUUCAAUUCAGUCCAUGCAUCAGGCAUAAGUUUUAGAUUCCAGCUAUUUAGUCAUGAUUCUCGUGUAUCAUCUCAGUCUUUCCUCAAUAUUUUAGCCAUGUUAGUGUCUUUCGGGGGACAUAUUAUCCCAAGGGCAGAUGUAAUAUAAACCCCCAAGCUUUCAUGUUCUAAACCUUCUAUCUUCUUUUCACGUAACAAGAUUUAGCUUAAAGUAAUGGGUAAAAAUAAGUUGACUCUCUCAUUCCAAUCUCAACCUUAUAACCAUUCUCAUGUCAUUACAUAUACUCAAGCAAAUCAAUUUAGUUCAUGAUAUUAAAUUCAUGUAUCAUGUUUCAGACCCAAUUAUGUUCUCAUGUUCCCAAUCAUGCAUAUUCAGUAUAUGAUCUCAGAUUCUUCAGUACUCUCAGCUAAACUAGCCUCAUUCGAGGAUGAAUGUUUCCAAAGGGGAGAUAUAGUACUACCCCAAAAAUCCAAACUAAUAUUAGAACCAUGAUCAAGAUCUUGCAAAAGAAAUUAUAGUGAUUUGGUAGUUUUAUAAGUGAGUUUUAUGUAUACUAAGGCCUCAAAUAACUCCUUGUUAUUAGACGAAUCAAAAUAUCCCUUACCGAUUAAGUUCUUGAUAAGGAUGUUUCUAUAGUCAACUUCAAACGAACAUAUAUCUCAUUUUACUAAUAAUUUUUUAUCUCAUGACCCACAAAUAAUUAGAUAAUUGAAUUAGCUUUCCAAGUACCAGUUUACCCUUAAUCCAAUAUUGGGGUAAAAUGUUAUACCCAUUUUACUAGAGAGUUGUCCAACUACCGAAGUGUGACGGCUAGGUUCAUAAACCAUCAAGCCAGGCCAUCAAAUUCAGGCAGUGAUCUCAUUUUCUAGCCAUAAACUGGCCGAUUAAGUGAAGUUCAGUCACUAGAGUGACGUUCCAUCACCCAAAUCGUCAACCAAGCCCGUACAACAACGUAAUGAAAUUUUUCAUGAGAUUUUUGGGUCUUUCCACCCUUUUUAACCCUUAAUUCCAUCACAACAUAACUCCUCAUUCAUCCUUAAAAUAAAAUUUAGGGUUUCUUUCAAGAUCAUUCCUCAAGAACAAGAUUCAAACCCUUCUUAAAGAAACUAAGAAAUUCAAGUUUAAGAACCAUCAGGAAAACAUCAAGAUUUCUGUUUCCCAAUCCAAAAACGUUCAAGAAAUGUUAAUUCUUUUUCAAGAUUAAUUCUUUAAGGUAUGUUAAAUAUUCAUCCAUGGGUCCUUUCCACCCAUGGAGCCCAAGAACCCAACUUCAAAUUCAAACUUGUGAUUUAUACAAGUUAUUGUGAUCUUAACCAUGAAUCCCUAUGAAUUUUGGUUUUAUACCAUAGUUAUAUCAAAUUGUUAUUGUUAUUAAUCCCCACAUAUUUUAAUGGUGUUGUUCACUAAACCUUAAUUGGUAAUUUUAGUAGGGAAAACAUGCUAUUACUACAAGUUUUAAAACUAUUCCCAUACUUAGCUUAAACCAUGAACUACAAGUGUUUGAUGAAAUGCCCACAAGAAAGAGUUUUUAAUAAAUGCUUACAUAUCAUGUCCUCAAAGUUUAAGUACAAUCUUGCUAUUAUUGUUAUCGAGUCCUGGGGGUUUGAAUACCUAAAAUUUAGCUGCUUACCUAGUUUUCAGUAUUUAUAGAUUGGUUACAAAUUAGUUAUGAGCCCUAUCGUUUCAGUCAGUAUUUUAAAUAGUUAAGCAUAGUCAGUCCAAUAUUCUAGUUCUUUCAGUUAUAAGUAGGAUUUAGCACCGAGCGAAUGUCGGGAUGACAGUUUUCCCAUUACUUAGGCAAAGUUGUAGUAGCAGUCCUUGUAUUCCAGAACUAUGUGGCCAGCGUAGGAUAUGUGGAGUCACCCAUCAGUUUAGGCUUGACAUCCUGGUUGUUCAGUAGCUUAGUGGAUCCACGCAUCCAUAUGUUAGUACCUGUGGCAAGGUAUUUCCACCCUUCAAACUGGGGUCACACGUUGGACCCCAAUUUGCAUAUUGACGCAUGUCGGUUAGAUGACAGCUCCUACAGUCUCAGUCCAGUAUUCAGCUCAGUAAUUCAGUUUUAGUUUUACUUGACCAUGGAAUACAAAUAUAAGUCAUUCAUUUAUCAGUAUUUAAUAUUUUAGUUUGUAGAUUAUAUUCAGAACAUAUUUUAUGUUUGGUCAUGCAUUCUCAGUCUUUACAGAUUUUAUACAUUCUAUUCAGUACUUCAUGCUACACAUUCAGUCAGUUAUUACUUGUGCACAUCAGACAUGCGUAUUAGCCUAACCUCAUUUAGCAUACCAAUACAUUCAGAGCAAUGAUCACAUACUAUUUUCUUGUAUUAUGAUAUUUAAUAUCAUAGGUUCAAAUGCUCAGUCCCCUGAUCGUGCAUAGACAUAUGAGAUUAUUAGCUGUAGCAGUGUUGAGUCCUCAUUCUUCAAGGACAUAGUUUAUUUUUCUCAGUUUACAUUAUCAUUUUAAUAUUUUCUAUUUAGUUGGAGUUGGUUAGGGGUUUGUCCCAUCAUCUCCACAGUUAGUCAUUAGAGGCUUUUUAGACUAGUACAAAUAGUUAGUCAGUGUUUUUGUUCUUAUCAUUAGUCAUUUUAUCAGUGUAGUUAGUAUUGUUUUACAGAUAUUAUCAAAAAUGUGUUUUAAAAUCAUAUGGCAUUUUUAGUUAAAUCCUACAUAUGAUCUUUUGAUAGCGGUUAUACUCAGAGCUCAAGAUAGGUACCACUCUCAUGGGUUUGUUUGUGGUCACUUGUGACAGUAGCCACCGUGUGGCAUCCACGGUAUACUCUCGAGGCUUUACAAAAUUGGUAUCAGAGCCUAAGUUUUUAAAGUGUCCUACGGAGUCUACAAGUCAUGUUGAGUAGAGUCUUGUGCUUGGGUGUGAAUCCCCCCACAUAUAUGGACAAUUGUCUACAAGAUAUUUUAGGAAAUGUUUCUCUUUUUUCAGUGUUCAUAUCGUGUGAAAUAGCAUGAUCUCUAUGUAAAAUCUCUUCCUAACUCAUCUAUCCUUUCGUGUAAAGAAAAUGCCUCCCAAAAAGAACAACGAAAGAAGAAAUGGGAAUCAGCCUGCAACUCCAUCUGUUCAGGAUAACCCCCUGAAUGAUGAUGUCUCUAAUGCCAAAUUCAGAGCUGCUUUCACUACCUAUACAUAUUUAGUAGUUGCUCAGAAUAAUCUGAAGGCAAUUCUCCAAUCUAGGCUUUUGAUUCAUGCUCAGUAGAGUGAUGGAGGAGCAUCAGAAGAAAGAGAGAAAGAAUAAAAGGGCCAGAACUAGUAGUUUUAAGCCAAGGUUAGAGGUACUAACCGCUCCCAAUUCUGUAAGAAAUUCUCAUCCCCAGCCUCUCCUUCAGCCAGUGUGCCAAUGUAUAAGCUUAAGAGAAAGGUUGAAAUUGAGCACCAGGCUCUAAGUCACAGGGUAGUGGGGAGGGUGUUCAUACUACUCUGUUUUGUGAAUAAUGUGGCUGAAAUCAUAAAGGUAUAUGUAGAGCCAAUAGUGAUCUGUGUUUUGGGUUAGGAAAUCUUGGCCACAGAGUCAGAGAUUGCCCAAAGAGUAGUCAGUAAGGCUAGUCCAACCAUCCUCUAAUUUUAUCUGUUACCCAGCUCAAUAAGGUGCCACUUCUAGUUCCCCAGUAGUUAACGUCAAAAAAGACUUUAUGAACUCUAGUCCUGACUUUAUCAAGAAAGUUCUCCUGAUGCGGUUAUGGGUAUGUUGCAGGCCUUUCAUAUUCCUAUGUAUGUUUUACUAGACCUAGAGCUUCACUUUCUCUUGUAACCCCCCUAUAUAGCUGUCAACUUUGGUGUACAACCUAAAAUAUUAGCAGCGCCCAUCUCAAUGUCUACUUCAGUGGGUAAAUAUAUCAUUUCCAAGUGAUUAUACAAAAAUUUCCUAGUUACAAUAUCCCAGCAAACCACUUCAGUUGAUUUCAGAAAUAGAGUCCUUCAGUUUUAGUUUCUCGAUGAAUCAGUCAUUUAAUGGAGGGGUAAUACCUCAAUUCAUAGGGAUCAGAUGUGUUUUCAGAGACCUUCUCAAAAUCCUAUAACAGUAGAUAACCUAGAAUUAGAAGCAUGAACCUAGAAGUUUAGUACCAAUAAAGUGGGGACAGUAUUGUCUGAAUUUAGAGGAUUACGUAUCUAUGGGGCUAGUUGUAUGAAAGGUAAAUCAGUAGGCUUAAAAUAGUGUAUGCAAGAAUUUAAGCUAAGUAUUAUGGUGCGGUUGUGCUUAUGUAGUAUCCUUGAGUGCUAAGUUUGAAUGGGGCUAUGAUAUAGUAAUUGAUUUUCUUACCAGCUCCGUUAUGGACUAUAAGUUAUUGAUGUCAGAUGUUCAAGUGCAAUAGUAGUUCUCUUGGUUUAGGGAGAAAUAUUAGUUUAGAGAUGUGAUAAUUAUAGGAUAUUAUUAAUGUAGUAUGGUUAUUAAAUAUUUUGGGAUAUCAAUAUUAUGUGUUAGAAUCUAAGUUUGAAUCUUUAAAGGUUGAACUAAUACAAAGAGGAGUUGAAAUUCUAAGUUGGUCAAUUUUAAGUUGUUACAUGAUGAAUGCUAGGGCUAUAGAAAGCUAAGAGUUAUAUCUUAGAAGAAAGUACUAGCAGUAAAUCUUAUAUUGUCGAGCAUAGUCAUUGAUGGUGAGUUUACCAAUUAUGCGUAUUAUUACAUCCCAGAUUCUAGAGUAAGGUGGUGGUAGUUCAGUUUAGAAAUAUUGAUUAAAUUGCUCCAAGAUUUAGAAUGAUAACUUUAAGCUAAGGGGGAUAUGAUAGAACAAUUAACCAAGUUAGGCUCUCAAAUUCUAGUAGUGAUAGCAGAGUGUUUAUAAUAAUAGUAGGAAAGAUGAUGCCCGACCCAUACUUAUUUUAGUAUUUGUAUUUUAGUUAUCACGAUAUCUACUCAUGCCUUACUUGUCAGCUCUAUGACCAUAGCUUAUAUCUGUGCACUUUAUAGAAAAUCAUAUACUCUCCCAGUCCCUGGUUUGAUAAGUUCCAAUUCACCCAACAGUACGAAUUAUGUUCUAUCAAUUCAGAAACUCCAAACUCAGGUCAUGGUGCUCAUGACUCAUGUAUUCAUGUUUUAGAGUGUACUCAGUUUCCAUGACUCAUGCUACACUCUUAAUGAUCAGCGAAAUACAGAUUUGUGUCACGUAUAUCCUCAGUUUAGACCUCUUUAAUGAAUUCAUGUCAUUUAUACUCAAUUCCUCAGGCUACAAUUAAGUGUCCAAGUUAUGCAUGGUAUUUCUUCCAUGCUUCAGGAUCUCAUGUUCUAACUUUUCAGUGACCUUUCUUUAUGAAAUGAUGGUGAUGAUGAGUAAUUUGUUUAGAUGUGAGAAAGUAAUUGUUUCAAUUUAUGAAAAGAAUGUUGCAUGCUUGUUUUACAUGAGGCGGUAGUAAUGAAGAUUGGCUUAAACAUCAUGUUGGUGCGUAAGUGGAUAUAUGCAUUAUGUGUUAGUGUAUGGCAAGUAAAAAGUUGUAUUUAGUUGUUAAUAGGGUAAUCAAAAUUAUUAAGGAGAUGGGAAGUUAUGAAAAUGCAUAGUGUAUUAAAUUUAUGACUCAGACUAGUAUUACAGUAUUAUGUGUGCAUUGUAUACAUUUGAGUUGGCUUGAACAUAGUGGAAGAAUUCAGUCCAGCUCAGACCUCAGUAGGUAGAUUUAUCGUGUCCAUAUGAAUAUUUUUUAGUAGCCUCAAGUGAAGUGCGGUGUUAAAGUAGAAAGUAUAGUUAAGGAAGUAGUUACGAAAUGUGGCUAAGAUUGUAAGUUAGUAGUUGUAUUGCAUAAGGCUUAGUAACUCUAUCCUAGCUGAUGUUUCAUAGGCCUUCGUUCAUAUUACAGAAUUUUAGCCAUGUUGUGAUUUCUUAUUCAGAUGUAUUAUUCAGAUGUCUUAUUCAGACCAUGCCAAGAUUUUCCACUCCUUAAUGUCAUUAGAACUUCAUGGAAAGAAUAUCGAAUAAAUACUCUAGUUAAGUAUAAUCUUUCAGUACGAGUUAGUUUGUAUAGCCAGUAAUUUGGUUUAGCAAUUAGGCAGACAAAUUCCUAUGGUUUUCAUCUCUCUUAUUCAGGAGGAAAUUCUUUCACGUCCAUACAAGUCAUAACUUUAGCUCAGUUCCUGCAUCGGGCAUUAGUUUUAGAUUCCAGAUAUUCAGUCAAGAUUCUUGUGUAUCAUCUUAGUAUUUCCUUAGUAUUUUAGCCAUGUCAGUGUCUUUUGGGGGGACAUAAUAUCCCAAGGGGGAGUGUAAUAUAAUCCCCCAAGAUUCCAUGUCCUAAACCUUCCAUUUUCUCUUCACGUAACAAGAUCUAGAUUAAAGUAAUGGGUACUCUUAUGUUGACUAUCAUUCCAAUCUCAGCCUUAUAACCAUUCUCAUGCCAUUGCAUGUAUUCAAGGAUAUCAAUUUAGUUCAUGAUAUUCAGUUCUUGAAUCACAUUUCGGACCUAGUUAUGUUCUCAUGUUCCCAAUCAUACAUGUUCAGUGUAUGAUCUCAAAUACUUAAAUACUAUCAGCUAAACCAGCCUCAUUUGAGGAUGAAUGUUUCCAAAGGGGAGAUAUUGUAAUAACCCAAAAAUUCAAAACAAUAUUAGAACCAUGCUUCAAGAUUAUGCCAAAUAAAUUAUAGUGAUUUGGUAUUUUAUUGAGUGAGUUUUAUGUGUAUUAAGGCCUCAAAUAACUCCUAGUUAUUAGACGAAUCAAAAUAUCCCUUAUCGAUUGAGUUCUUGAGAAGGUUGUUGCUAUAGUCAACUUCAAAUGAGCAUAUCAUUCGUUUUACUAAGAAUUUUUGAUCUUAUGACCCACCAACAAGUAUUUAAUUGAAUUAUAUUUCAAAUUAUAGCUAUUUUUCUUUAAUUUAAUAUCGGGGUAAAACAUUAUGCCCAUUUUACCAGAGAGUUGUCCGACUUCCGAAAUGCGACGGCCAGGUUGACGGACUGUCAAGACACUGAUGGACCAUCAAGCCAGGCCGUUAACUUUAGGUAGUGAGCUUAUUUUUGGGCCAUAAAUUAACGGAUUGAAAGACGAUCAGUCACCAGAGUGACGGUCCAUCAACCAAGCCUGCGGUCCAUCAACCAAGCCUGUUAAACAACGUAAUGAUGUUUUUAAUGAGCUUUUUGGGUCUUUUCCACCCUUUUUAAUCCCCAAUUCCAUCACCUUAAACAACAUAAAUCCUCAUUCAUCCUUAAAAUUAAAAUCUGGGUUACUUUGAAGAUCAUUCACCAAGAACAAGAUUCAAACACUUCUUCAAGAAACUAAGAAAUUCAAGUUCUUCAAGCUCUAGAACAAUCUAGAAAACAUCAAGCUUUUUGUUUCCCAAUCCAAGAACAUUCAAGAAACAUUAAUUCUCUUUUAAGAUUAAUGCUUUAAGGUAUGUCAAAUGUUCAUCCAUGGGUCAUUUCCAACCAUGGAGCCGAAGAACCCAACUUUAAAUUCAAAGUUGUGAUUUUUACAAGUUAUUGUGAUUUUAACCAUGAAUCCCCAUGAAUUUUUAUUUUAUUCCAAGUUUACAUGAAAUUAUAAUUGUUAUUAAUCCCCACACAUUUAAAUGGUGUUGUUCACUGAAUUAAACCUUAAUUGGUGAUUUUAGUAGGGAAAUCAUGCUAUUACAAUAAGCUUUAAAACUAUUCUCAUACUUAGCUUAAACCAUGAAUUACAAGUGUUCGAUGAAAUACCCAUAAGAAGGAGUUUUGAAUAAAUACUUACAUAUCAUGUCCUCAAAGUUUUAGUAAAAUCUUUCUAUUAUUGUAGAGUCCUUGGGGUUUGAAUACCCAACAUUUUGCUACUUACCUAGUUUUCAGUAUUUAUAGAAUGGUUACAAAAUAGUUACGAGCCCUAUCAUUUCAGUUAAUAUUUUCAAUAGUUAAGCAUAGUCAGUCCAACAUUUUAGGUCUUUCAGUUGGGAGUAGGAUUUAGCACUGAGCAAAUAUAGGGAUGACGGCUUCCCCGUCAGUUAGGUGGAGUCGUUAAUAGCAGUCCUUGAUUCCAAAACUACAUAGCCAGCGUAGCAUAUUGGCAGUCACCCAUCAGUUUAGGCUUGACAUUUUAGUUGUUUAGUAGCUUAGUGGAUUCACGCAUCCAUGUGUUCAGUAGCUUAGGAAUAUGCCUUGAAGUUUCAUCAAUUUUAAAGGUAUGCUCCUGAUUUAGUGGUUGACAUACGGGCAAGGAGGAGGAAAUUUACUUCUGGGUUGAAUCAGGAUUGGAUUUUUAAACCAAGACUUCCUUGUUGAUUAAAUAUAUAGAUAUCUCUAGGUUGACUAUUCAUAUGCAGUAGGUAGAGAAUAAGAAAAGGAAAUAGGCAGAGUUUAGAUAUAGGCAGAGUAAGUGGAACAGGUUUUUUGACUAGGGUGGUGCUCAGUUUUAGGGUGGUCGGGAUGGUGGAAAAUGGCAGAAAAAUAAGUGGGGGAGUUCUGGUUCCUACUCUUCUGCUAGUAAUCCUUAGGCAUCAUCAGGGUGGUGACAAUUUUUGGGUGUAGGGUGCCCAAUCUCAUGCAAAUAGAGGUCAGUCAGUUUCUUUAUUCCCUUCUUAUCGGUUUUAUGGUCAUCCUCAUCGGGGUUAUUAUGAUAAAGGAAAGGACAAAUUCUUCAAAUAUAGACAGGUAGGACAGUUAAUAAGGUUGCUAUAGGGGCGAAUAAGAUUCCUAUGGCUUCAUCUUCUGGUCCUACACCUGGUAGUGUUGCAUCUACUUCUAUUACUCUUCCUCAUUCUAGUGUUAGUCGAAAUAGGUUGUAUGCUUUGGCGACUUGAUAGGAAUCUAAGGGAUCACCUAAUGUCAUUACUACUACGUUACAACUUUUCUCUUAUGAAGUAUAUUAUUUUCUUGAUUUGGGGUCCAGUUUUUCCUAUGUGACUCCUUAUGCUGGUGUAUCUUUUGGUUUCAACCAAAAGUUAUUUCAAAUCCCUUUUUUGUUUCUACCCUAGUAGGUGUCACGCCCCAAAAUCCCAUCGGGCCGGACUGGCACCCGAAGCCGAGAAGGCCCGGGAGAACCCGUUCAAAUACCUGUACUUUCACUUACAUGUCACCAAAAAAAUUGGACAGCACUUCGUUGCAUAUAGAAAGGUCUAAUUACCUGUAUCAGCACAACACGCACAAAUAUAUAUAUAUAAUACUUGGCCGUCGGGGCCACCACAUAUACAAAUAUAACGUUACUAUAUAAACUUCCAUGACUUUACCCUUCCUUAUGUCUACAAAGCCUCUAGGAUAUACAUGACAUAACUAGGGUCGGGACAAACCCCCGCCCACACGUGACUCAUGUACAAUAACAAAACAUAAGGAACCGACUCGGAAAGCUCCGAAGCAAACUGGAGCUCACCAACAAUAGCUGUAUGACCUGGCUCCUACUUGUGCGGUGUAUGAGUUGAGGUACCUGUGCCUGCAGCAUGAAAUGCAGGUCCCCCGUGAGGGACGUCAGUACGAAAUAUGUACUGAGUAUGUAAAGCUGUAAAUAAUCACAUAUGAUAUAGGAGCUCAAUAGAAAUCAGAAACAAGUGAAUAAGUCGUAAUAGGAGUGGACCACACUUACUAGAACUUGUGACAACCUGUACAUUGUAUUUAUUCAAUCACUUUACCUUCGUUCUUAUCGUCUUUGUAAUCAUUACUGUACUGUACUGUGACCAUUAGGAUGCCUCCAGUACAUAUCAACUGGGAUCGACCCAUGCUAGGCUUAUGCCCCUGGGAUACCACCCAUAAACACAUGAAAUAGGGAUCGACCCAUGCUAGGCUUAUGCCCCUGGGAUACCACCCGAUAAGAGAGAACUUUCAUCACUUAGUUCAAUUAAUCUUUGAGAUUGUUAUUUCGGUCGUCACCACAUUUUUGAUACCUUGAAACAAUGAUACAUCAAUAGGAACCAAGUAAUAGACCUUCUAUACAAUAACGAUGUAAUAAGGACUCAUUGGUACAUCAACAAUAUGUUUCAGAAUCAUCAAUAUCACAACAAUGAAAUAAGAGCCUUUUGGUAUAUCAAUGAACAUUUUGACACUUUAUAGGAUGGAAACAACUUCGUUGGUAACGUAGAACAAUACAUGUUUUUGGACAACCUCGGAAUCUUACUUGAUGGAACAUUGGUGUUUUCAUGCCAAAGAACAUUGUUAGAGUAUGCUUUACAUACCUCGUUGUAGAUUCAGCUACCAAUUCAACACAACUUCCCGCCUUUACAAAUCACUUAUCUACAAUGAAAUGUUUGGCAUCUAGUAUUAGCAACCCAACACCACAAUUCUCUUCCAUAAUUCCAUACUACCAAUAUUUGCAAAACAUUCCAAAAACCAACUUGAACAAUAGGUUUAUGUGUGUAUAUGUAUAUAAUCAUCAUCUCAAUACCACAUCAUCAAUACCACAUCAUCACCCCAAAUUCCUUCACAAUUUAACAUAAUCCAACCAUGCACAAGAAUAAUCCAACAUCAUUUCCAAUCAUCUUUCAACAACAAUCAAAUAACAUACUUCUUAUGCUCACAUGCAUAUAUAUAUAUAUAUACAUAUCCAUAUAAAUAACACCAACAUAAUUUACAUCCUUACCAAAAAAAAUGGCCCUUUUGAUUUCGAAGUCCUGUUGGCACAAAUAAGGGGUGCUUCUCGAAGCCCUUGAGACGGUGAACACAACUACGGAAUCAAUUUGGAUUUUCUACGGUUGAAUCACAAGAUAAUUGGAGUUGAACUUAGGCUAGGGUUUCUUAUUCUUCAAUGAUUUGGAUGAUAAAUGGUGGAUAUAAGGCUAAGUAUAUGUAUAUAAUGACCAAUUUUCGUCCAUGAGGUGAUGGAAAAUGACCAUAUUGCCCUUAAAAAUUUAAGUAAAUCCGAAUCUGUCCAUGGUGGACUGUUUUGAUAGGCUAAAGUAAAUCGGCCAUAACUCUUUGCUCCGAUAUCGGAUUUGGGUGAAAUUGGUAUCGUUAGAAAGAUAAUUCAAAGGUAUUUCAUUUAAUAUAAAUUAAUCCACCCAGUUCGUCCUGUACAAGUAGUUAUGAUCGUUUGAAGUUGACCCUAAAAAUCUGUUUUGAGAGGCUGAAGUAAAACGAGUAUAACUCCUUACUCAGAUGUUGGAUUUGGAUGAAACCAAUUUCAUUGGAAAGAAGACUCAAAGAUCUUUCUUUUGAUAUAUGGUAGCUCAACCAGUUCAUUAUAUUGAGGGAGUUAUGAUCGUUCAAAGUUGACCCAAAAAACUGGCAGGCCUCAGUAGUUUCCUGCACAUUUUACUGUUCACAUCCCGGCCACCGUUUUAAAGUUUCGAACGAGCUCGCUUAUAUCCGAAACUUAUCCGUUUUUGGAAAUCUUUAUAUCGUUGGAAAGCUUAUUCAAUAACCUUCGUAUGGAACCAUCGACGGGAAAAUUCCGAUAUAAAUAAAGUCGAUUCCUAUACACCUAUAAUCAAACUAUACACUUGAAACCAUCUCAAAAUAAUCAAUACUCAUACUUAAACUCAUAUAUACCUAACUUAGGAUCAAUACAUAUACCCCAACACAUAUAACAAUGACUAAUGCACGUAAUUAAGUACGGGGUGUUACAUCCUUCCCCCCUUAAGGACAUUCGUCCUCGAAUGUGAAUGUAGUUAUUUAGCCGAAACAAGUUCAAGUCCACCAUUAACAUUCACAUCAUCACAUAAAUACUAUGCAUAUAUAAACAAAAACUUACUUGUUAAUGUUCUAACUCCGUUUCUUGAACUUCCUCUUCAUCUUUGAACAAAUGAGGGUACUUAGAUUUCAUUGCUUCCUCAGCUUCCCAUGUAAUCUCUUCCCUUUGUUGAUUUCUCCAAAGUACCUUUACUGAUGCCAUUUCUUUGUUCCUUAACUUUUUAACUUGGCGAUCUAGAAUAGCAACCGGUACCUCUUCAUAAGUAAGAUCCUCUGUGACCUGUACAUCUUCUAUAGGAGUGAUACGAGAGGGGUCACCUAUGCAUUUUCGAAGCAUUGACACAUGAAACACUGGAUGAACCAUUGAAAGUUCCUGGGGUAGCUCUAAUUCAUAUGCAACUUGUCCGACCCUCUUGGUAAUCUUAUAUGGCCCUAUGUAACGUGGGCUUAGUUUCCCUUUUUUACCAAAUCUCAUAACCCCUUUCAUUGGUGAUACCUUUAAAAAUACCCAAUCUCCAAUAGAGAAUUCCAGCCCUCUUCUCCGAAUAUCUGCAUAUGAUUUAUGACGACUUUGGGCUGUUUUUAGCCGUUGUUGUAUCACCUUGACUUUUUCUAUGGCUUGAUACACAAGAUCCGGUCCGAACAUAAGAGUUUCACCCGCUUCGAACCAUCCUAUUGGUGAUCUACACUUUCUCCCAUAUAAAGCUUCAUAUGGUGCCAUUUUGAUACUUGAAUGAUAGCUAUUAUUGUAGGCAAACUCAAUAAGAGGUAAAUGAUCAUCCCAGCUGCCUUUAAAAUCUAUAACACAUGCUCGUAGCAUAUCUUCAAGUGUUUGAAUGGUGCGCUCUGCUUGUCCAUCCGUCUGAGGGUGAAAAGCUGUACUCAGAUUCACUUGUGUUCCCAAACCCCGUUGGAAAGACUUCCAAAAGUUUGCAGUAAAUUGAGUUCCCCGAUCCGAUAUAAUAGAAGUUGGCACUCCAUGUAAUCGGACUAUUUCUUUAACAUACAGCUUCGAAUAUUCUUCAACUGUGUAAGUGGUCUUAACGGGUAAGAAAUGUGCGGAUUUAGUAAGCCUAUCCACAAUCACCCAUAUAGAAUCAAAUUUUCGAGCUGUACGAGGCAAACCUGUAACAAAAUCCAUGUUGAUCAUGUCCCACUUCCAAAUUGGAAGAUCUAUGCAUUGCAUAUAGCCUCCGGGUUUUUGGUGCUCAACUUUAACUCUUUGACAAUUUGGACAUUCAGCUACAAAUUCUGCAAUGCUCUUCUUCAUGUCAUUCCACCAAUACAUAUCUUUCAAAUCUUGAUACAUUUUGGUUGAUCCUGGAUGAAUGGAAUACCUUGAAAAAUGUGCCUCUGUCAUAAUCUUCUUUCUUAGCCCGUCUAUAUCCGGCACACACAAUCGGUUUUGGCACUGAAGUACUCCUUCUCGCGUAAGCUCAAAUGCCUUGGUCGCACCACUCUGAACGUUCUCCUUAAGAUGUAAUAAAAUAGGAUCUGCAUAUUGCUUCUCUUUCACUUCAGCUACUAAUGAAGAUUCCGCAGCAUUAUGUACGAUAAGCUCUUUAUUCGGAGUUUCAAGAAGGCGAACUCCCAAACUAGCUAACUGGUGAAGAUCUUUAACCAUCCCUUGCCUUUCUAUAGGCGCCAUCAUAGCCUUACGACUUAACGCAUCAGCUACCACAUUUGCUUUCCCUGGAUGGUACAAGAUAUCAACAUCAUAGUCCUUUAAUAGUUCAAGCCAUCUCCGCUGCCUUAAAUUUAGAUCCUUCUGAUUAAAAAUAUAUUGCAAGCUCUUAUGGUCAGUAUAUAUAUCAACGUGAACCCCAUAUAAGUAGUGGCGCCAUAUCUUUAAAGCAAAAAUAACCGCUGCCAGCUCAAGAUCGUGUGUAGGAUAAUUUUUCUCAUGUGGCCGUAAUUGUCUAGAAGCAUAUGCUAUUACCUUACCAUGCUGCAUCAAUACACAUCCUAAACCAAUUCUGGAAGCAUCACAAUACACUGUAUACCCUUCGGUGCCUUCUGGUAGUACCAACACGGGUGUAGAAAUCAACUUGUUCUUUAAAUCUUGAAAACUCUUCUCACAGGCAUCAUUCCAUUGGAAUUUGGAUGCUUUAUGGGUUAGCUUGGUUAAGGGUGCUGAAAUGGAAGAAAAGUCUUUGACAAACCUUCUAUAAUAACCGGCCAACCCAAGAAAACUACGAAUCUCCGUAGGCGUUGUGGGCCUUGGCCAGUUCUUCACAGCCUCUAUCUUUUGAGCAUCAACCUUUAUCCCUUCACUAGAUACAAUAUGACCCAAAAAUGCCACCGACUUUAACCAAAACUCACAUUUAGAGAACUUUGCAUAAAGCUUACAAUCACGAAGAGUCUGCAAUGCCUGUCGUAAGUGAUUGGCAUGGUCCUCUUCUGAUCUAGAAUAAACUAGAAUAUCAUCUAUAAAAACUAUCACAAAUACAUCCAGGAAUGGCUUAAAAACCCUAUUCAUCAAAUCCAUAAAAGCUGCGGGUGCAUUUGUUAGCCCAAAUGACAUAACUAGAAACUCAUAAUGACCAUACCUUGUUCGGAAAGCUGUUUUGGGUAUAUCUUUUUCUUUGACCCUCACUUGGUGGUAACCUGACCUCAAAUCAAUCUUAGAAAAGCACUUGGCGCCCUGUAACUGAUCAAAUAAAUCAUCAAUUCUUGGGAGAGGAUAUUUAUUCUUAAUAGUCACCUUAUUCAAUUGCCGAUAAUCAAUACACAUCCUCAGCGAGCCAUCCUUUUUGCGUACAAAUAACACUGGUGCUCCCCAAGGGGAAAUACUAGGCCUAAUGAACCCCUUUUCUAGCAAAUCUUUCAAUUGCUCUUUCAAUUCUCGUAAUUCUGCUGGGGCCAUUCUAUACGGAGGAAUGGAGAUUGGUUGGGUGCCUGGUAUUACAUCAAUACCAAACUCUACUUCUCGUUCAGGAGGCAAACCUGGAAGAUCUUCAGGAAAUACAUCAGAAAAUUCAUUUACCACCGGAACAGCGUGAAGAGUUGGUGGCUCCGCUUCUGUAUCCCUUACUCUAGAAAGAAACCCAUGAAUGAACAUCCACAUACCUUAAUAGAUGAUUUCUUGAAGAUUUCUUGAGGGUUUCUUGAAUUUGAAGCUUGAGUUCCUUGGUUUUUUAGGGAGAAAAAAAUUGAAAUUGGUGAUUUUGAGAAAGUGGGAAGGGUUUUCUUGAGAUGGAUUUAGAGAAGAAGGGCAAAUAAUGCUCUAAAUGAUGUCUCAAUUCGUGUUAUGCAUGAUUUGGGUUGAGGGGAACAGACACAAUUUCCCCUCAGGCAAUUAAAUUCAUAACUGGGCAUAACAUACUUACCGCAACGCGGUCUAAUUGAAGUCAUCCAUUUCCCUUACCGCAACGCAGUGAGCAUGCAAAUGGAAAUAUUAAAGCGACGCAGCCGUAUCGCAGUGACUUUCUGGAUUUGUGAUCCAAACAUGACCGAAACCUCAUUCAAAAAAUUUGAAACUUCUCUAAGACAUGCUCCUUACAUCCCUGAAUAUGAAUUAACUCAAAAACCAACACCUUAGGAUCGGGAAGACCAAUCGAAAAAUCCUCGAAGUUAAGAGGACUUAUAAAUGACUAAUUCCCCAACACUUAGUGAAAUUUUUAGGCCUUAAGCCCCUUAUGCAUACAACUAGAAGAUGAACUGACCUAAUAAUAAUAUGGGGUAUUAUAGAAGUGCUGAAAGAAAGACUUAAUCAAAUAAUAAUUAAGCUAAGAAAAAUAGAGAACUUAAUCAAAUGGACGAGAAACCAGAUUGAAUCCAUAAUAUGAUAACUUAAUGAUAAAUCAAGUGAAGAAGAUAACACAAACAAUUUAGAAAGACACCCUAAUCACUCAAUCUAAGCUAACAAUUGAAAUUGAACCCAAUUACUGCCCUAAUAUCGAAUAACUAAAUAUCAAUUCUAUUCAAGACAAUUCACUUUUCCAAAUCUAAGUGAUGAAAAUGGAUAAAGAAACUAUUUAUAGUCAGUGCCUUUACAGAAAAAGUCUAUUACAAAAAUCUCCCUAAUGUGACCAUUUUACAAAUAACUCACAAGGGACCUUCUUAAUUGGCCAAAUGGCAUCUUGAUUGCCAAUGACCUUAUGUAUCUAUUUCUUCAUGCCUUCCUUCAAACUCCAAGAUAUCAUCCAUACAUGGAAGACCCUCCUAAUAUGUUCCAAGCUAAUCAUGAUCCACUUCAUCAAAAGAAUUCAUCCACGAAUCCAAACUUUUUUAAAAAAUGAGAAGGAAAAACAACAAACAUAUCAUCGUAGCAUGAGGUUUAACACAAGGAUUAUCAAUAACAAAUUUAUGGCCAUGCCAAGGGUGUACACAUUUAACAUAUAACCAAGCAAAAAAAUGAGUCAUAAAUGGUUUGUCACCCAACAAAAAUUGAUAUACUUGGCUACAUAGGAAACAUUGACAAAGGGGCAAAUCAAAAGAACCAUGGUGUUUAGGCAACCACUGAUACAAGUCCUCAAUGGUUCUAAAUUUAGAAAAAAAAAUCUCCCUUUAAGUCAUGUAACACAUGAUAACCCAUAUAACUAUGUUUCAUGUCAUAAAUGAGGUCAUUCCAAGUCAAUACUCUAUCCAAUGCACUAACUAUCUUAAAGAAUAGAAUUACUCCUAAUUCAUCAUUGGAGAUUAAAUACGAAGGUAUUCUCUACAUAAUUUGGCAAAUAUAUCUUAUUAAACAUAUAAGAUCAAGUAAUAACACCAAGCAAUAAUCAUAUGAGAGAAAAAAUAUGUUACUACUAUACUUACCACCACGCAAGCCAACAACCUCACCCACAACUUUCUUGUCAUUUGAACCAAGUAUUUUAUCACAAACGCCACUAUUCAAAUCAUUACCAGGACAAAAGGAAAAGGCAAUCCAUAAACAUGGGUAAAAUCAUACACCUAUUUGCCCCAUUGACACUCUACUCUCACAUAACAUACUCCACUCAAAGGAAAGAGUAUCAUCAUAUGCAAAAAAAGUGGUAUAGAAAGGUGUUACUUAAAUAAAGUUUAUUUAAGGUGUGCCCACAUAUAGAAUCACCCUUUGAUCUACAAGCAUUAAGCCCUUGAUCAAGCAUGGGUUCACACAAGAAUGAAUAGGUCAUUGGAGAACAUACACCCCCUUCUUUUGGACCACUAACCCCUCCAAUUGACAAACUAUCAUCUUUUAAGAAGAGAGUUUUGUCUUUAAAAAAUGUGUCAUCAUACCAUAGUGGAUUUUUGAUCACUUGUGUCACGCCCCAAAAUCCCAUCGGGCCGGACUGGCACCCGAAGCCGAGAAGGCCCGGGAGAACCCGUUCAAAUACCUGUACUUUCACUUACAUGUCACCAAAAAAAUUGGACAGCACUUCGUUGCAUAUAGAAAGGUCUAAUUACCUGUAUCAGCACAACACGCACAAAUAUAUAUAUAUAAUACUUGGCCGUCGGGGCCACCACAUAUACAAAUAUAACGUUACUAUAUAAACUUCCAUGACUUUACCCUUCCUUAUGUCUACAAAGCCUCUAGGAUAUACAUGACAUAACUAGGGUCGGGACAAACCCCCGCCCACACGUGACUCAUGUACAAUAACAAAACAUAAGGAACCGACUCGGAAAGCUCCGAAGCAAACUGGAGCUCACCAACAAUAGCUGUAUGACCUGGCUCCUACUUGUGCGGUGUAUGAGUUGAGGUACCUGUGCCUGCAGCAUGAAAUGCAGGUCCCCCGUGAGGGACGUCAGUACGAAAUAUGUACUGAGUAUGUAAAGCUGUAAAUAAUCACAUAUGAUAUAGGAGCUCAAUAGAAAUCAGAAACAAGUGAAUAAGUCGUAAUAGGAGUGGACCACACUUACUAGAACUUGUGACAACCUGUACAUUGUAUUUAUUCAAUCACUUUACCUUCGUUCUUAUCGUCUUUGUAAUCAUUACUGUACUGUACUGUGACCAUUAGGAUGCCUCCAGUACAUAUCAACUGGGAUCGACCCAUGCUAGGCUUAUGCCCCUGGGAUACCACCCAUAAACACAUGAAAUAGGGAUCGACCCAUGCUAGGCUUAUGCCCCUGGGAUACCACCCGAUAAGAGAGAACUUUCAUCACUUAGUUCAAUUAAUCUUUGAGAUUGUUAUUUCGGUCGUCACCACAUUUUUGAUACCUUGAAACAAUGAUACAUCAAUAGGAACCAAGUAAUAGACCUUCUAUACAAUAACGAUGUAAUAAGGACUCAUUGGUACAUCAACAAUAUGUUUCAGAAUCAUCAAUAUCACAACAAUGAAAUAAGAGCCUUUUGGUAUAUCAAUGAACAUUUUGACACUUUAUAGGAUGGAAACAACUUCGUUGGUAACGUAGAACAAUACAUGUUUUUGGACAACCUCGGAAUCUUACUUGAUGGAACAUUGGUGUUUUCAUGCCAAAGAACAUUGUUAGAGUAUGCUUUACAUACCUCGUUGUAGAUUCAGAUACCAAUUCAACACAACUUCCCGCCUUUACAAAUCACUUAUCUACAAUGAAAUGUUUGGCAUCUAGUAUUAGCAACCCAACACCACAAUUCUCUUCCAUAAUUCCAUACUACCAAUAUUUGCAAAACAUUCCAAAAACCAACUUGAACAAUAGGUUUAUGUGUGUAUAUGUAUAUAAUCAUCAUCUCAAUACCACAUCAUCAAUACCACAUCAUCACCCCAAAUUCCUUCACAAUUUAACAUAAUCCAACCAUGCACAAGAAUAAUCCAACAUCAUUUCCAAUCAUCUUUCAACAACAAUCAAAUAACAUACUUCUUAUGCUCACAUGCAUAUAUAUAUAUAUAUACAUAUCCAUAUAAAUAACACCAACAUAAUUUACAUCCUUACCAAAAAAAAUGGCCCUUUUGAUUUCGAAGUCCUGUUGGCACAAAUAAGGGGUGCUUCUCGAAGCCCUUGAGACGGUGAACACAACUACGGAAUCAAUUUGGAUUUUCUACGGUUGAAUCACAAGAUAAUUGGAGUUGAACUUAGGCUAGGGUUUCUUAUUCUUCAAUGAUUUGGAUGAUAAAUGGUGGAUAUAAGGCUAAGUAUAUGUAUAUAAUGACCAAUUUUCGUCCAUGAGGUGAUGGAAAAUGACCAUAUUGCCCUUAAAAAUUUAAGUAAAUCCGAAUCUGUCCAUGGUGGACUGUUUUGAUAGGCUAAAGUAAAUCGGCCAUAACUCUUUGCUCCGAUAUCGGAUUUGGGUGAAAUUGGUAUCGUUAGAAAGAUAAUUCAAAGGUCUUUCAUUUAAUAUAAAUUAAUCCACCCAGUUCGUCCUGUACAAGUAGUUAUGAUCGUUUGAAGUUGACCCUAAAAAUCUGUUUUGAGAGGCUGAAGUAAAACGAGUAUAACUCCUUACUCAGAUGUUGGAUUUGGAUGAAACCAAUUUCAUUGGAAAGAAGACUCAAAGAUCUUUCUUUUGAUAUAUGGUAGCUCAACCAGUUCAUUAUAUUGAGGGAGUUAUGAUCGUUCAAAGUUGACCCAAAAAACUGGCAGGCCUCAGUAGUUUCCUGCACAUUUUACUGUUCACAUCCCGGCCACCGUUUUAAAGUUUCGAACGAGCUCGCUUAUAUCCGAAACUUAUCCGUUUUUGGAAAUCUUUAUAUCGUUGGAAAGCUUAUUCAAUAACCUUCGUAUGGAACCAUCGACGGGAAAAUUCCGAUAUAAAUAAAGUCGAUUCCUAUACACCUAUAAUCAAACUAUACACUUGAAACCAUCUCAAAAUAAUCAAUACUCAUACUUAAACUCAUAUAUACCUAACUUAGGAUCAAUACAUAUACCCCAACACAUAUAACAAUGACUAAUGCACGUAAUUAAGUACGGGGUGUUACAGUAGGUAACUCAGUUAUUGCUAAGAAAGUCUAUAGGGGGUUUGUGGUAUCUGUUGGUGGCAAGCAAACCUUGGUGGAUCUAUUUAAGUUGGAUAUAGUGGAUUUUUAUGUCAUUCUGGGUAUGGGUUGGCUGCACUCUUUUUACACAUCCUUGGAUUGUUAGACCCAUAAAGUUAUCUUUAGGUUCCCUGGUGAACCGGUUAUAGAGUGGGAGGUUAUUUCUUUAUCUCCCAGGGGGAGUUUUAUUUGUUAUCUAAGAGCUCGGAGGUUAAUCUCUAAAGGUUGUUUUUAUGACAUAGUCUGGGUUAAGGAUUCUAACUCGAAAGGUCCUUCUGUCCAGUUAUUUCCAGCUAUUAAUGAGUUUCUAGAGGUAUUUUUGGAUGAUCUUCUUGGUGUUUCUUCAAAUAAGGAAAUAGAGUUUGGUAUUGAUUUAAUUUUGGAUACUCGUCUAAUUUCUAUUCCUCUAUAUAGAAUGGCUCUGGAUGAGUUAAGGUAACUCAAGGAGCAACUUAAGGAUUUUAUGGAUAAGGGGUUUAUUCAUCCUAGUGUAUCUCCUUGGGGUGCACCGGUGUUUGUGUACAAGAAAGAUGGUUCCCUUCAGCUGUGCAUUGACUUUAGGUAGUUGAACAAGGUGACGGUCAAGAACAAGUAUCCUGUUUAAGGAUAUAUGAUCUAUUUUACCAGUUGUAAUGUGCCAAGUUCUUUUCCAUGAUACAUCUUCGAUCAGGGUACCAUCAUGUAAUACCCCGUAUUUUUGUAUUGGAAUUCUAACCAUCGUUCCUAAGCGUCUAAGCUCUAAUCCAAGUGAUUCUCACAUGAAUACAAGUUGCAUGAUCAUUAUCUUAGUCUAUGGAGUAGUUUAGAGGUGAAAAAUAUUCAUAGCAAUGACCUAGAACAAAGCUGAGCUAAGACCAAUUGAUUCAUCCAAAGUUUGACAUUCAAUUCUACAAGGGUCAACUUCAAACUUGAAUAUCUCUUAAUAUACAUGGAAUUUAUCAUCCCAAGACCUAUCAAGUUGUAGAUAAUUGAAUUAGCUUUCCAAUGAUACUAAUUUCAUCAAAAUUUGACACCCGAGCAAGGAGUUAUGGCUUUGCAAAGCAGAGUGCGUUGCCUAACCAAUCGCACGUGGCUACUGGAAUAGGUGUGCGAUAAACAAUGUGGCGCAUACUUAAAUGUGUGCGAUAAUCAAUGCGGUGCAUACUUAAAUAUGUGCGAUAAUCAAUGCGGUGCAUAUUUAAAUGUGUGCGAUAAAUAAUGUAGCGCAUACUUAAAUGUGUGCGAUAAGCAAUGCGCCGCAUACCUCACUUCCAAGUGCCAAAAACACCCCUAUAUAUGUCUAUAACACGGGAUUAAAAUCUCAUAACACCAAAAUAAGUUUACUUUCUCUCAAAAUCACCAAGAACAUUCAUUAGGGUUUCAACCUAAAAAUUCAAAUAUUUCAAGAUUCAACCAUGAGUUUUCAAUAAGUCUUUGAGAUUCGGAAUCCCCAUUCCGAGGGAUACAAGAAACACUCAUUAUUUUCACGAAUAGAGUCCCAAGGUCAAGAUUUCAUUCAAAGCUUUAAUUGUAAGGUAUGUGGGGUUUUUCAACAAGAACAUUCUUUCGUUCUUGUGCCCAAAAUUUGUAUUAUUUUACAAAGAUAUAGAUUUUACAUGCUUUGAUAUGAAUUUGAGAUAGAAACUAUUAUCCUACGUUCUUGUUCAAAAUACUAUUAUAUUUUUAUGAUGUCUUGAAGAUAAAUUCCUUGAGUUUUGAUAUUAAUAUCAUGUUUGAAGUUGAAUCUCCAGAUUUUCAUAUGAAUUAUACAUGUUUGCUACAUAAAGUGUGAAUCUUGAAAUAUUUUGCUCAAGUAUUGAUAUAUGGGUUUUGAACCCUAUUUGAGAAUUAUAAUUUUUGUGAAAGUAAAGUGUUAUGCACACCUUGAGAUUUGAAUGAUUUGACCUUUUGGUCUUGAAAGAGUUAUUUUUGAACUCGAAUGAGAAAAGAAAUCCACAUUUUGAUUUAUUACGAAAAAGGGGUAGCAUGAUGGCUCCCGUUGUGAAUUGCUGAAUUAUUUUAUGGUGGAUUUUCUUUGAAAAUAUCUGAGCUAAGUCCGGGAGCAGUCUUUAGCACCGAGUGGGAGGUAUAGCUGUGUUGGUACUUCCCUAUAACUACGUGCCCCCGUAGGAUCCGAAAUUGAGGCUGAUUAUAUAUAGUGAUCACUAGUUUUUGGAUUUGAUACUUAUAGUCCUACUCUGAUGGCAAGGAUAGGACAGCUCUCCCCAAUGUGGGUUGUACGUUAGACUCCAUGUCGCUCACAUGGUUUAUGUCGGUUAUGAGAUCACCCAAUGUGUGUGUGUAUUCUCCUUUCUAAUAUGAAAAGUGUUAUUCUUCUAUCUGAGAAGAAAAUAUAUUUGUUUGAAAGAAUGAAUUUGAGAAAGUCAUUGUUUUCGAAAGAUUUAAUGAACAUAUAUUCCAAAGAGAAUUGUUAUGAUAUUUGAUUGCUUUAAUAAUUUAGAAUCGAGAUAGAAGUGAAUUGAGAUUUAUUAUGAUAACUCACAUAUUUCACCCGAUAUAUUUUAAUCUCUUAUGAUUAUGAUGAUUUUAAUUCGAGCUAAGUGAAUCGUUUAUAUUAGCAUGCAUAAUUUUAUAAACUGUGAUGAUAUUACGACAUUAUUUUAUAUAUGCAUUACACCCCCAUAUGCUCGGUACAUUUCCAUGGUACCGACCUAUAUAUUUGUAUAUGGGCUAUAUUUUCUUGGAAUGUAGGUACAAGGUAUAGUGUAUAUCUUCAGAUCCAGUCAGUUCACGACAUCCAGUCAGCAGGUGAUGAGUUCUUUUGAUUUAAGGGCUUGAGUUAGUUAUAUAGUUCGAGAAGUGUUGUAUUUUCUUUAUUCAAUCAUAUUGAGUUGGGUUAGUUGGGAGUCAUGACCCAGCUACCUACAGUCAGUACUAGUAGAGGCUUCAUAGACAGUCAAUAGAAGUUAAUGUAUUCCAUUUCAAUUUUGGUUGUAAAAGCAGAGUUGUAAUCUUGUAAAUUUAGUUUUGUAUCUAUAAUAUUCAGAAAAGAGUUAUUUUCUGCAGAUUUGUAUAGAUUUAUACUUUUUUUCAAUUGCUUAUGAGUUAUGCCAGUAGAAGGGUUAGCUUGGGUUCACUUGUGAUCCUAAGCACCGUGUGAAGUCUCAGGAUCCAAUUUUGGGGUGUUACAAACUUGGUAUCAGAGCACAGAGUUCAAGUGUCCUAGGGUGUCUAUGAACCGUGUCUAUUAGAGUCUUGCGGAAUGGUACGGAGAUGUCU
rnacentral:lncRNA from 1 species